UGAGAGAUCCUCUUUCCAAUUGUGUUACCC
rnacentral:piRNA from 1 species